UACGUAGGUGGCAAGCGUUGUCCGGAAUUAUUGGGCGUAAAGCGCGCGCAGGCGGUCCUUUAAGUCUGAUGUGAAAGCCCACGGCUCAACCGUGGAGGGUCAUUGGAAACUGGGGGACUUGAGUGCAGAAGAGGAAAGCGGAAUUCCACGUGUAGCGGUGAAAUGCGUAGAGAUGUGGAGGAACACCAGUGGCGAAGGCGGCUUUCUGGUCUGUAACUCACGCUGAGGCGCGAAAGCGUGGGGAGCAAACAGG
rnacentral:rRNA from 1 species